GUGGACAGGAUCAUCCUCCAGCUGAACCGUUACUACCCACAGAUCCUUACCAACAAGGAGGCGGAAAAGGUGCUGAGGAGUUCCGGAACCCUAAGGCAUCCUUGCGUGUGCGGCUCUGUGACCUCCUGAGCCACCUGCAGCGGAGCGGUGAGCGGGACUGCCAGGAGUUCUACCGAGCCCUGUAUAUCCAUGCCCAGCCCCUGCACAGCGCCUGCCCAGCCGCCACGCUCUGCGACCCAUGAGCUUCCUGGCUGGCCUGGGCCUUGCUGUGGGACUGGCCCUGCUCCUGUACUGCUAUCCGCCAG
rnacentral:sRNA from 1 species